UCAUAAUUACCAUUACAAUACUAUAGGAACAUUUUCCAAUUGUUAAUUCACGCAAAGCGCACCGAGCAUUUUUCACGAACUAUAGCAAUAUAGCAACCAUAUAUAUAGCAAUAUAGCAAUAUAGCAAUAUAGCAAUAUAGCAAUAUAGCAACCAUAUAGCCACAAUCACAACUUGCAGACUCAACAUCAUAACAAUGACCGAACCGGGUUAACCCGGUCGGUCUAUUUACCUUCAAUAACUUUUCUGAGAACAGAGACAUCAAAAUGGCUCGCAACAGUUCAACGGAUCAGGCCGCCGGUGUGACGGCGGAACGAUCUGAAGCAACCAUAUCAAUUUCCCUUCUUAGG
rnacentral:lncRNA from 1 species